rnacentral:sRNA from 1 species
CCAUAGCCCCGAUUGCAGCGACAUCCUUUUUUGUUAUUGCGAUUGUACAUCAGUUCAACAGAUUGCUGUACUUUGUUCGCAAUGAUAAAAAAGAUAUAGCGGAAAGCGGGAAAUAGC